CAGUAGCCGCGGGAAUACGUAGGUGGCAAGCGUUGUCCGGAAUUAUUGGGCGUAAAGGGCUCGCAGGCGGUUUCUUAAGUCUGAUGUGAAAGCCCCCGGCUCAACCGGGGAGAGUCAUCGGAAACUGGGAAACUUGAGUGCAGAAGAGGAGAGUGGAAUUCCACGUGUAGCGGUGAAAUGCGUAGAGAUGUGGAGGAACACCAGUGGCGAAGGCGACUCUCUGGUCUGUAACUGACGCUGAGGAGCGAAAGCGUGGGGAGCGAACAGGAUUAGAUACCCGCGUAGUCCCUGUCUCUUAUAA
rnacentral:rRNA from 1 species